ensembl:lncRNA
GGGAAAUUAUCCAAGAUACACGUCAGGUGUGGGAAGAGGACGUGUCGGAUACCGAUUGGAGGAUCGGGAAGGAAGCAGAGAUAUAAAAGGGGCUGGUUUAUGAACAGGGGAGUCGGUUCCGCUGUUGUUCCACACGAUACGGAAGUGGCUGGUGUGGCGUGGAUGUUGUGAUUUACGGGCUGCAACGGAGAAUCCAAGGAAAGGGGAGAUUGGAAGUGCGGAGGAAGUUAAGUGAUCAACCUUUUGUAUGUUGUGUUUACAUCUUAUUGUGGAUUGAACUGAAGGAGCGAUCCUAUGUUUGGAAGGCCCCUGAGUGAAGGAGAUCAUUGAAUUCGUAUUGGGAGAGGACAACACUGUGUACUGGUGGGUGAAGACUUUAUGAACAUUCCUUGUAUAUUGUGGAGAGUGGAUGACGGAUGUGGAGGGAGACUAACUGCCUUUAAGAAAGUGUUCCGACUGCAUAUUUCUCCGUAGCAGUGGGUAAUCCCCCCCCCCCCCUCUCUUGUGUUGAUCUAAUAAUCCUCAGUGCUUGUGUGUUUACUCAGUGUUGAUAGUAGUGCCUUGCGUUGGAGAUCGCUGGGAAAGACGGAGAGACUCCGGUGUACGAUAUAUACGCCUGCUGUGGUCUGCCCCCUGCCUUCGUCCAUCUGACACGCCCCGCCAGGACUCUGAGCCCGAAACGGGAAUACACCACGGAUCUUCUUUCACUGAGUGUGUGGAGUGCGGUGAGUGCUGCUAUAUUGAAGUGUACACACGAGAAGAAUUGUAGUGCCUUUGUGGUGUGUGGUGUUUGUCCGUGGUUGUGUCCCCGGUCGUAGGAAGAGGCCUGACAGAGAGGAGCAGUGUAUUGGUGGCAACCACAGUCUUUACCUUAAGUAAGCUGGAGCUUGGACGUGUUGGAGGCGCCUCUGGAGGAGGUUGGAUGACGUCGCCCACACAGCGAUCUCUGUAAGCUUUUAAAUCAAAGCCUUACCCUUUCAUCCACGUGACGUUGUGUCAUUGGCCUUGUCAGCAACCACCGGCCUGGUGCGUGUCGUCUGUGCUGUCUCUUUGACAAGGGAAGCGAAGGACAACAGCCGAUCCUCCCCCGUGUGCCCCCUUGCCAAGCUGGGCGGGAAGCCCAGUAUUGUUUGCAGUCUCACCUGUAAGGCCCACCAGCCGUCAGUCAUCGACCAAACCCGUAUCUGCUUGGAAUACCGACCUCUGAAUAUCUUCAGUGAACCCCUGCACGCUAACAGCCCAGCCCUGUGAAUACCCACCUGUGUAUUGAACUUUGUACUUACCUGAGAGCUAGAACCCCUGCACGCUAACAGCUCAGCCUUGGGUCUUGAAGUCCACCCCCCCCCCCCAGAGCCAGAAAGUCCCUGCACGUCAACUGCCUAGCUCUUGCUUUAAACUUACCUGGAGUGGAGUCGGCUGGAAAUUAAGGGCUGAAGUGGAGUGUGUCGAGGAAGGGCUGAAGAGGAGUGUUAUCGAGGACUGGAAUCCGUAUCUGUGG